UACGUAGGGGGCAAGCGUUGUCCGGAAUCAUUGGGCGUAAAGAGCGUGUAGGCGGCCAGAUAAGUCCGCUGUGAAAUCUCGAGGCUCAACUUCGAGCUGUCGGUGGAAACUGUCUGGCUAGAGUCCGGAAGAGGAGAAUGGAAUUCCUGGUGUAGCGGUGAAAUGCGCAGAUAUCAGGAAGAACACCCGUGGCGAAGGCGGUUCUCUGGGACGGUACUGACGCUGAGACGUGAAAGCGUGGGGAGCGAACAGG
rnacentral:rRNA from 1 species